rnacentral:rRNA from 1 species
UACGAAGGGGGCUAGCGUUGCCCGGAUUUAUUGGGCGUAAAGGGCGCGCAGGCGGUACGGCACGUCCGUUGUGAAAUCGCUCGGCUCAACUGGGCGGGGUCAGCGGAUACGGCCGCACUUGAGCAAGCUAGGGGGCAAUGGAAUUCCCGGUGUAGUGGUGAAAUGCGUAGAUAUCGGGAGGAACACCAGUGGCGAAGGCGACUUCCUGGCCUGUUCUUGACGCUGAGGCGCGAAAGCUAGGGGAGCAAACGGG